AUACUCUUGAUAUAUAUUUGUGCAUACUUGCUAGGAGUGUUGAGAGCAAAAUAUUUAUCUCAGAUAUACUGCAUGUAUAUCAACAAUGGAAACUUGGAGCAUUGACUUCAUGGAGCCUUGCUUAUUUACAGAAUGUCAUUGAACCAAAGGUGAUACAUCGAGACAUUAAGCAAAGGUUUCUUCUUGGCCACUAAGCACUUUGUAGUACCUUUCAAAUUUUCCACGAUCAGCCAUCCCAAGAUAUAUUCUAUAUGGCUGAUACUGACAUUGGUUUGCCAAAUCAAGUUUGACUGAUAAGGAAAUUGUUUUCUUCCAUAUUCACAUUGGUACUGACAUUACAGAUGAGAAAGAGCAGUUACUGACAUUGGUUUGCCAAAUCAAGUUUGAUAAGGAAAUUGAAUUCAAGAGGGAGUUGCCACCAGGUGAGAUAAUGGUAAAGCUGC